rnacentral:miRNA from 1 species
UGUGUGAGGCACCCAUAAAACUGCACUACUAGCAUGCAAAGCCAUAAUUAUAAUAAUAAUAAUACAGCUUGGGACUCUUAAAUACUGUGUCCCAAGCUGUUUAGGACUUUGCAUGCUAGUAAUGCAACUUUACGGGUGCCUCACACA